CGCGUAGGUGGCCCGUUAAGUGGCUGGUGAAAUCCCGGGGCUCAACUCCGGGGCUGCCGGUCAGACUGGCGAGCUAGAGCACGGUAGGGGCAGAUGGAAUUCCCGGUGUAGCGGUGGAAUGCGUAGAGAUCGGGAAGAAUACCAGUGGCGAAGGCGUUCUGCUGGGCCGUUGCUGACACUGAGGCGCGACAGCGUGGGAGCAAACA
rnacentral:rRNA from 1 species